GAUGUAGAAACGGCCCGGGGCUACAACCUACGGAAUAGACUAUUUAGUAAACGUGGCAGACUAGAGUACUGUAGGAGGGGGGUAGAAUUUCAGGUGUAGCGGUGAAAUGCGUAGAGAUCUGAAGGAAUACCGGUGGCGAAGGCGGCCCCCUGGACAGAUACUGACACUCAGAUGCGAAAGCGUGGGGAGCAAACAGGAUUAGAUACCCUGGUAG
rnacentral:rRNA from 1 species